rnacentral:rRNA from 1 species
GACAGAGGGCGCAAACGUUGUUCGGAAUUACUGGGCGUAAAGCGCGUGUAGGCGGUCUCGCAAGUCGGAUGUGAAAGCCCAGGGCUCAACCCUGGAAGUGCACUCGAUACUGCGAGGCUAGAGUCCCGGAGAGGAUGGUGGAACUCUCGGUGUAGAGGUGAAAUUCGUAGAUAUCGAGAAGAACACCGGUGGCGAAGGCGGCCAUCUGGACGGUGACUGACGCUGAGACGCGAAAGCGUGGGGAGCAAACAGG